rnacentral:rRNA from 1 species
AACGAGACCUGGUCCUGCUAAAUAGGGGCGCUUAUGCCUUCACUGGGUUCUUACCUUCUUAGAAGGACUAUGCCCGUCUAGCGGGAGGAAUAAUGAGGCAACAACAGGUUGGUGAUGCCCUUAGUUGUUGUGGGCCCCCCCCCCCCUACAAUGAUGCAUUCAACAACUUAUGCUGAACGGUCCUGGCACUUAAUGACCUCGUAAUCUGUUGAAAGUGCAUCAUGCUGCUUAUAGAUCAUUGCCUUUAUUGAUCUAUAACGAGUAAUUCCUUGUAUGCGUAUGUUAUCAUCCUGCCCCGAAUACUUCCCUGCCCUUUGUACACACCGCCCGUCGUGCUACCGAUUGAAGGGCUUGUGAGCUGUACAGAUCUGUCUAUUGUGAUCACUAGUCCUCAUCGGCUCUGAGAUAAGCUCAAUGAUAUUAUCAUUAGGAGGAA